GGGGGUGAAAGGAUCUCGACGGGGAAUUUGAAGCAUGAUAAGCGGGUAGUGAUGCAGGGUCACUUUAAACACUGCAAACUUAAAAUAAACGACAAUAAUACUGUUUUAAAGGCUGCUUGAUGCGGCCCGUCCUGCCUUUGAGUACCGCGGCUUAGGUUUGGGCGUCGACCAGCGGUGAACGUGAACGCGGAAGUAGCUUUGUACCGCGUCAUGAUUUAAAAGCUACCGAGCCCGGAAGGUUGCCGAUCAUCGCCCGGGCAAGGGAACGCAAACGACCGGCUGCACCCGGAGAAGAUCACGUGAAUGAUUUUUCGGACGCGGGUUCGAUUCCCGCCACCUCCACCA
rnacentral:tmRNA from 1 species